rnacentral:rRNA from 1 species
ACGGGGGGGGCAAGCGUUGUUCGGAAUUACUGGGCGUAAAGGGCUCGUAGGCGGCCAACUAAGUCGGACGUGAAAUCCCCAGGCUCAACCUGGGAACUGCGUCCGAUACUGGAUGGCUUGAGUUUGGGAGAGGGAUGCGGAAUUCCAGGUGUAGCGGUGAAAUGCGUAGAUAUCUGGAGGAACACCGGUGGCGAAGGCGGCAUCCUGGACCAACACUGACGCUGAGGAGCGAAAGCCAGGGGAGCAAACGGGA